UGGUCUAGCCAUGCGAGUCAUUGUAGCAUACAAGGCGGACGGCUCAGUAACACGUAGUCAACCUAACUCGUGGACGUGGAUAACCUCGGGAAACUGAGAAUAAACCACGAUAGAUCAUAGUGCCUGGAAUGGCUUAUGGUCCAAACAGUUUACUGCCAUGGGAUGGGACUGCGGCCUAUCAGCUUGUUGGUGAGGUAAUGGCCCACCAAGGCGAUUACAGGUACGGGCUCUGAGAGGAGAAGCCCGGAGAUGGGUACUGAGACACGGACCCAGGCCCUAUGGGGCGCAGCAGGCGAGAAACCUUAGCAAUGUGCGAAAGCACGACUGGGUCAGUCCGAGUGAUUCCUGAUAAAGGAGUCUUUUGCUUGUCCUAAAAGCACAGGUGAAUAAGGGGUGGGGCAAGUCCUGGUGUCAGCCGCCGCGGUAAUACCAGCACCUCGGAGUGGUCAGGACGUUUUAUUGGGCCUAAAGCAUCCGUAGCCGGCUUUGCAAGUCCUUCGGUAAAUCCCCCCUGCUCAACAGAUGGGCUGCUGGAAGAUCUACAAAGCUAGGGAGUGGGAAAGCAGACGUUUACCGUGGGGUAGGGGUAAAAUCUCUGAUCCAUUGAGACCACAGUGGCGAAGCGGUCUGCAGAACCGUUCGACGUGAAGGAUGAAGCUGGGGACAACCGGAUAAUACCCGGUAGUCACUUAACAUGCACUCGGUAGCAUGCUAGGCCAUGCAUGCCGAGG
rnacentral:rRNA from 1 species